rnacentral:misc_RNA from 1 species
UGCUUUUGCAUCGAACGGUUGGGCAUGCAAUCCCGUCUCAAGUUAGUCGCUGCGUUGCUCGGUUGCGGUUCCUGUGUUGCCUACCUCUUGAAUGAAUGGCAUUCGCGUGGCUCGUCGGAUUUUGUCCAUCCAGUUCCCCUCCUCGGGGGGUGCUGGGGGAUGUCAAAGCGACGCACGUGCUCCACGGUCCUUGUUUGCUAUCGAUGUGGAGCAUGUGCGUUUGCCGGUCUCUCGGAUGCGGUGCAUGAGAUGAAACAUGGGAAGUUCUCCCAUUCAGUCCCUCAUAUAACUCGGUUGCCUUGAUUGAAUGACACUUGCCUUCGUGCCCGCUCGCUCUCCACCCGUGGUCGCGUGCGGUGCCCCGAUGAGCAAAGAUGUUAACGGAUG